UUAGCUCAGUUGGUUAGAGCACUAGCUCGACAAGCUAGGGGCCACUGGUUCGAGUCCA
rnacentral:tRNA from 1 species